rnacentral:rRNA from 1 species
AUUGAACGCUAGCGGGAUGCUUUACACAUGCAAGUCGGACGGCAGCGCGAGGUAAGCUUGCUUACCUUGGCGGCGAGUGGCGAACGGGUGAGUAAUGUAUCGGAACGUGCCCAGUAGCGGGGGAUAACCACUCGAAAGAGUGGCUAAUACCGCAUACGCCCUACGGGGGAAAGCGGGGGACCUUCGGGCCUCGCACUAUUGGAGCGGCCGAUAUCGGAUUAGCUAGUUGGUGGGGUAAAGGCCUACCAAGGCGACGAUCCGUAGCUGGUUUGAGAGGACGACCAGCCACACUGGGACUGAGACACGGCCCAGACUCCUACGGGAGGCAGCAGUGGGGAAUUUUGGACAAUGGGGGCAACCCUGAUCCAGCCAUCCCGCGUGUGCGAUGAAGGCCUUCGGGUUGUAAAGCACUUUUGGCAGGGAAGAAAAGGCUCUGGCUAAUACCUGGAGCUGCU